rnacentral:tRNA from 1 species
CGAAGUAGCUCAGUUGGUAGAGCAACUCAUUCGUAAUGAGUAGGUCGACGGUUCGACUCCGUUCUUCG